CCUACGGGUGUCAGCAGUGAGGAAUAUUGGUCAAUGGACGAGAGUCUGAACCAGCCAAGUAGCGUGAAGGAUGACUGCCCUAUGGGUUGUAAACUUCUUUUAUAUGGGAAUAAAACGUUCCACGUGUGGGAUUUUGUAUGUACCAUAUGAAUAAGGAUCGGCUAACUCCGUGCCAGCAGCCGCGGUAAUACGGAGGAUCAGAGCGUUAUCCGGCUUUAUUGGGUUUAAAGGGAGCGUAGGUGGAUUGUUAAGUCAGUUGUGAAAGUUUGCGGCUCAACCGUAAAAUUGCAGUUGAAACUGGCAUUAUUGAGUACAGUAGAGGUGGGCGGAAUUCGUGGUGUAGCGGUGAAAUGCGUAGAUAUCAGGAGGAACACCGGCGGCGAAGGCGGCUUACUGGACUGUAACUGACGUUGAGGCUCGAAGGCGUGGGGAGCAAACAGGAUUAGAUACCCUGGUAGUC
rnacentral:rRNA from 1 species